AUUAUUAUUUAGUUUUAUAACAUGCCUCAUGAUUUAAAAGUUCUGAGUAAACGACAUUUGCGUCGCAAAACAGCUAUAAAUACUCGUAAAGUAUUACUGAGUAUUGCAGGCAAUAAUUGUGCACUCGAGCACCUUACGAAAUCACAAUUAAAAGAUGCUAGUCAUGAACAUGUGUCUUGUAUCGGAGAAUAUGUGCACUCUAUAGAUAGCGAUUAUGAUGUUGAUCAUAUCCAUCAAAGUAAUGAACAGAAUGAAGAAAACUCUAAUUCGAACCGCGAUAAUAAAGAUUUCAAAGACAUCGAAAGUGACAUAGAUAGCAUCAAAGCUACGUUGUACAGUUCUGAAGAUAAUUCAAGUUCCGUCAGCGAUGAAGUGCAUUUAGAUGAUGAAACGAACUUUGUUGAAAAUUUGCGCGACUGGGCAUCUUCAAAUAACAUCACACAUAACGCGAUCGAUCAAUUGCUAGCAUUAUUGAAACCAGCACAUCCUAUCUUACCCUUAAGUGCUAGGACUCUACUUCACACGUCACGACGUAUUGAAACGUUAAAUUUAGACAACGGAGAAAUGUGUUAUUUCGGUUUGGAGAAAUGCUUGAGACAAAAACUCGAGUCAGGUCUCAAAAAAGGACUGUCACCUGAACAUACGUUGCGAGUUGAUUUUAAUAUUGAUGGGAUUCCCGUUUAUAAAAGUAGCGGAACAUCAUUUUGGCCAAUUUUGGGACGCAGUAUUUCAAUGAUCGAUGAUAGCCCAUUUGUAAUUGGUGUUUAUUAUGGUACGGGUAAACCGAUGCCACUAUCUUCAUAUUUACGAGAUUUAAUUAAAGAAACGUCACGUUUAAGCACCAAUGGUUUUGAGUUUAAUGGCACCAAAUACUUUGUCAGAGUUGGUUUAUUCGCGUGUGACGCGCCCGCGAGAUCUAUGUUGAAAAUGUGUUUAGGACAUUCGGGUAAGGAUGCUUGCGAGAGGUGUAAGAUUCGCGCAGUUCAUCUCAACCGUAAACUGUGUUAUCCAUGUGACACCGAAUUCCAGAAGCGAAAAGAUAGUGAUUUUGUUGCACCUAGUGAAAACGAUCGUCACGUUAAAGGACGUUCGCCUCUUUUAGAUCUUUACGUGGGACUAGUCUCCCAAUUUCCUUUAGAUCCCAUGCAUUUAAUCUACCUGGGAAUUUUGAAGAGGUUGCUCCUUAAAUACUGGGUCGAGGGUUCACGUGAUUGCAAAUUGUCUAAGGAUAUUUUGUUAGAAAUUGAACGUAUAAUGAAACUAUUGGCGCGAUAUGUUCCGGCAGAGUUUCCUCGAAAGCCCCGUGGAUUUUUGGAUUUGCAUCGAUGGAAAGCGACAGAAUUUAGAUUUUUCUUGUUAUAUUCCGGCCCUGUUGUAAUGCGGGAUGUGCUAGAUCGAAAAAAGUACAAACAUUUUUUAUUAUUGUCUGCCGCCGUGUAUAUUCUAUCGAAUACAGCCUUGUUCUCGCGUUUUCGAAACAUCGCGCAAGAUAUGAUCGAAAAAUUCGUUACUCAAGGUGCUAAGAUAUACGGACAAAACUUUGUCGUAUAUAAUGUACAUUCGCUGCUGCAUGUCAUAGACGACGUAGAACGAUUUGGCCCAUUAGAAGAAUACAGUUGCUUUGUGUAUGAAAAUCAUUUGGGCCAUUUGAAACGACUUAUUCGAUCGAAACGCUUGCCGCUGCAGCAGCUGAGUAAUCGACUUGAAGAACUAAGUUCUAUUCGUAAAACUAAUUGUCAGGAAAAAUUUAUUCCUAAACCCAAAUUUAUUGGAAAUUCUCGUGAAUGUCAGGCUCUGGAAACGAAAAAAUUCAAAAUAUCAAUAAAAAGGCCGGAUAAUGUAGUAGCUUGUGGGACAGAAAUAUUAGUGAUCAAAUCAAUCCUUUUCAUUGCCGGAGAAUAUAGAAUUAUAGGUACUCCGUUCAAGUACAAGCGAGACCUUUAUCAGAAACCUAUUAAAUCUUCCAAACUAGGGAUUUUUUUCGUAAGAAGUUUCAACGUAGCGAAAUCUUAUCGCGUCGAUGAUAUAUUACAUAAAUUCGUCUGUCUUCCAUUUAAAGAUGGUUUCGCAGUAACUCCGAUACUACACGAAAUGAAAUAAAAUUUUUAUUUUUUGUUAAACAUCUCAACGAAACGAGCUCUCGACAAAAAACAGAUGAUGAACCUACGAUUCUCGGCAAUGUGUACGAGGAAGAGGGAUUCGUUCAAGACAUGUAUAGUAUGUCUAUGUCUACCUCGCACACAUUCCCGAGAAUCGUAGGUUCAUUAUCUCUUUUAUAUUAAAAGUUUGCUUCAAUUGAGAUGUUUAGCAAAAAAUAACAUUAUCGUAUACCUAUUACCAUAUACCGUAUAUGCCGAGUCUAAUUUACCUAGUAGUCCAAUAUACCCAACUCUACCAUAUGUUCAUAACAUCACUUUUGAGCUGAUUUAUUAUAGUUUUGUACGUCACAUUGACGUUCAAGUAUUGGUUAGACAUGCGUUCCCAAAAUCUUCAUAAUGUUUCAUGAUCGAUUCAUCUUUUAACUUAUAUACUACCUUGCAUAUUCCUAUGUUGAUGUCCUAAUUAAAAACUUUUAAACUGGCACUUUUUGCUCAGAGUGGAAUAAAAGUGCUUGAAUUUUGAUCAAAUAUAAAUUUAUACACCAGACUAGAGAAUAUGAUACAUUUAACGAUGUUUUUACUCAGUCGUGCUGCAGAACUAUGUAUGCGGUGAUUGAAUUCUUGGUUGGCGAAGAUAGAGAAUGCGCAUUGGUACCAGUUCUUUGGCUGGUCGAAAACAACACCCAAUGUUACUGGCCACGGACAAAAACUGAAGAUCAUUUUACAAAACUUGUAAAAUCAAAGGCUGCCUAUGAAAAAACAUGGCCAAAGUUUGCCAUUCACAAAGUACUGCAUACCGGAGAUGACUACCACGACACCGAAGCAACGAUGGCGCGCCUACUGGAGCUGGGCACGUCCGAUGAAUCCGGAAUAAUUCGCAACAUCGCUAAAAAAUCCACUGUAAUACCUCAGCAAGAUAUUACCAAUGACGUGGACGAGAAUGAAGCUACGAACAGUGAUGAUGUCGAACCUGAGCCGCAAAAGAAAAAACGUAAACACAAAACCGACAAGAAGAAGGCUAAAAAUCGACACGUUAGUAACAAAAAAAAAAAAACGAAGCGUUCUCGUGAAAGUUCAA
rnacentral:misc_RNA from 2 species